rnacentral:lncRNA from 1 species
GAAAAACUCCCAAAGAAGAAAAGAGGACAUCAAUAUUUCACAGAAUUUUCAUUUCAAUGUUUUCUUUUUUAAUGGAAACACAACCAACUGCAGUGCCAAUUUAACUAACGAAUUCCCACCCUACCAGAGUGAGUUCCACUCACUUAAAAAGCACAAUCAAACUUUAUACACAGCUUUGUUUCAGAAGCUCUUUAUGUUUAGUUCAACAAUGCAGGAAACUCAAGAUAAAAUGAGAUUAUUAACUGUUUAUAGAUAGUUCUCUGCUGAAACCAUAAAACGGUUACACCAACAUGAGAGUCACUUUAAUGUGCCCACCUCAAACCAUUUAUUUCCUCACCUCUGUCAGAGUCUCUGGAGAGCAUCAGCAUGGAUACAUAACAGAUCCAUCCCAUUUUCUGUAGUCGACAACAAAGAAACAGCCAGGAACACAUGCGGAAUCAUAGGCCUGCAAAGCUCCUGCUAUUCACUAUAACUCUGUCAUGCCUUAGGCACUUCCUAACCUAGAAUUCUGAGUGAAGGACAACAAUAACUCAUAAUUUUGAUUCAUAAAUUACAAGACUGGAAAUGCACAUCAGUCAAUCAAAUCACAUGAACAGAACUACACACCAAUGUAUAAAAGACAUCAGAAAUUUUUCAAUAUUGA